rnacentral:tRNA from 2 species
CAAGGUAUAGCUUAACAUAAAGCAUCCGGCUUACACCCAGAAGAUUUCAAUAUCAUUUGACUAUCUUGA